rnacentral:Y_RNA from 1 species
GGCUGAUCCGAGUGCAGUAAUGUUUGCAAUUAAUUGAUCACAACCAAUUACAGAUUUCUUUGUUCUUUCUCCACUCCCACUGCUUUGAUUGACCUGCCUUAA